rnacentral:rRNA from 1 species
UACGUAGGGGGGCAAGCGUUGUCCGGAUUUAUUGGGCGUAAAGAGCGUGUAGGCGGCCAGGCAGGUCCGCUGUGAAAAACUCGAGGCUCAACCUCGAGAGGUCGGUGGAAACCGUUUGGCUAGAGUCCGGAAGAGGAGAGUGGAAUUCCCGGUGUAGCGGUGAAAUGCGCAGAUAUCGGGAAGAACACCCGUGGCGAAGGCGGCUCUCUGGGACGGUACUGACGCUGAGACGCGAAAGCGUGGGGAGCGAACAGG